AUGCAAGUGUAAGUUCACGCCACGCAUUAGAACGGGCGAAACCGCGAAUGGCUCAGGAACCGGACCUAAUCCUCGGGACCGUAAUCCUCCUCGGAGGCGAUGGAUAACUGUGGCAAUUCUAGAGCUAAUACAUGUGACACAGGCCGCGAUCGGCCGUCGCGUCGUGGUCGCCUCGCCUCGCGCGCUGGCACCCGCGGCGGCCGUCUUGGGUCGCGGCGCUACAUAUUAGACUGAGACCGAUGCGCGAUUCCCGUCCUCCCGGCCUCCGGGUCGGGAUCAAGGUCGGCGCGCUCCGCUUUGGUGACUCUGGAUAACUCACUGGUCGAUCGCACGGGCCUCGCGCCCGGCGACGGGUCCCCCGAGGGUCCGCCCUAUCAACUGUCGACGGUCGGUUAAGUGCCUACCGUGGUUACUACGGGUAACGGGGAAUCGGGGUUCGAUUCCGGAGAGGGAGCAUGCGAAACGGCUACCACA
rnacentral:rRNA from 1 species